rnacentral:rRNA from 1 species
AUAGUUCCUUGAACCGCAUGGUUCAAGGAUGAAAGACGGUUUCGGCUGUCACUUACAGAUGGACCCGCGGCGCAUUAGCUAGUUGGUGGGGUAAUGGCUCACCAAGGCGACGAUGCGUAGCCGACCUGAGAGGGUGAUCGGCCACACUGGGACUGAGACACGGCCCAGACUCCUACGGGAGGCAGCAGUAGGGAAUCUUCCGCAAUGGACGAAAGUCUGACGGAGCAACGCCGCGUGAGUGAUGAAGGUUUUCGGAUCGUAAAGCUCUGUUGUUAGGGAAGAACAAGUGCGAGAGUAACUGCUCGCACCUUGACGGUACCUAACCAGAAAGCCACGGCUAACUACGUGCCAGCAGCCGCGGUAAUACGUAGGUGGCAAGCGUUGUCCGGAAUUAUUGGGCGUAAAGGGCUCGCAGGCGGUUUCUUAAGUCUGAUGUGAAAGCCCCCGGCUCAACCGGGGAGGGUCAUUGGAAACUGGGAAACUUGAGUGCAGAAGAGGAGAGUGGAAUUCCACGUGUAGCGGUGAAAUGCGUAGAGAUGUGGAGGAACACCAGUGGCGAAGGCGACUCUCUGGUCUGUAACUGACGCUGAGGAGCGAAAGCGUGGGGAGCGAACAGGAUUAGAUACCCUGGUAGUCCACGCCGUAAACGAUGAGUGCUAAGUGUUAGGGGGUUUCCGCCCCUUAGUGCUGCAGCUAACGCAUUAAGCACUCCGCCUGGGGAGUACGGUCGCAAGACUGAAACUCAAAGGAAUUGACGGGGGCCCGCACAAGCGGUGGAGCAUGUGGUUUAAUUCGAAGCAACGCGAAGAACCUUACCAGGUCUUGACAUCCUCUGACAACCCUAGAGAUAGGGCUUUCCCUUCGGGGACAGAGUGACAGGUGGUGCAUGGUUGUCGUCAGCUCGUGUCGUGAGAUGUUGGGUUAAGUCCCGCAACGAGCGCAACCCUUGAUCUUAGUUGCCAGCAUUCAGUUGGGCACUCUAAGGUGACUGCCGGUGACAAACCGGAGGAAGGUGGGGAUGACGUCAAAUCAUCAUGCCCCUUAUGACCUGGGCUACACACGUGCUACAAUGGACAGAACAAAGGGCUGCGAGACCGCAAGGUUUAGCCAAUCCCAUAAAUCUGUUCUCAGUUCGGAUCGCAGU